UACGGGGGGGGCAAGCGUUGUUCGGAAUUACUGGGCGUAAAGGGCUCGUAGGUGGCCAACUAAGUCAGACGUGAAAUCCCUCAGCUUAACUGGGGAACUGCGUCUGAUACUGGAUGGCUUGAGAUUGGGAGAGGAACGCGGAAUUCCAGGUGUAGCGGUGAAAUGCGUAGAUAUCUGGAGGAACACCGGUGGCGAAGGCGGCGUUCUGGACUGCUACUGACACUGAGGAACGAAAGCCAGGGGAGCAAACGGG
rnacentral:rRNA from 1 species